rnacentral:rRNA from 1 species
UUUUUUAUAUACCCCCUUAUUAUAAUAGAAUGUUAUUUAAUGGACCUGACUGUCCUAUUAAACAUAUACAACUUUCAGCAACGGAUCUCUUGGCUCUCGCAUCGAUGAAGAACGCAGCGAAAUGCGAUAAGUAAUGUGAAUUGCAGAAUUCAGUGAAUCAUCGAAUCUUUGAACGCACCUUGCGCUCCUUGGUAUUCCGAGGAGCAUGCCUGUUUGAGUGUCAUUAAAUUAUCAACCUAUUUGUCGUUAUUGGCAAAUAGGCUUGGAUGUGGGGGUUAUUGGUGGCUUUCUAGUCAGCUCUCCUCAAAUGUAUUAGCUGGUUGCCUUGUGUAAACUUGUCUAUUGGUGUGAUAGUUAUCUACGCUAAGGGCUGUUUACUGAUUUAGCACUGCUUCUAACUGUCUUCAGACAAUAUAUGACCAUUGACCUCAA